rnacentral:rRNA from 1 species
UACCUGCAGCUCUAGUGGUGAUCGCUAUUAUUGGGCCUAAAACGUCCGUAGCCGGCUUAUUAAAUGCCUGGGUAAAUCGUGUAGCUUAACUAUACGAAUUCCGGGUAGACUGAUAGGCUUGAGACCGGGAGAAGCUAGAGGUACUCCUGGGGUAGAGGUGAAAUUCUGUAAUCCUAGGGGGACCACAAGUGGCGAAGGCGUCUAGCUAGAACGGGUCUGACGGUGAGGGACGAAGCCCUGGGGCGCAAACCGGAUUAGAUACCCGGGUAGUCCAGGGUGUAAACGCUGCUUGCUUGAUGUUAGUUGGGCUCUGAGCCCAAUUAGUGUCGGAGAGAAGUUGUUAAGCAAGCUGCCUGGGAAGUACGGUCGCAAGACUGAAACUUAAAGGAAUUGGCGGGGAGCACAGCAACGGGUGGAGCGUGCGGUUU